AACUUUCAGCAAUGGAUCUCUAGGUUCUCGCAUCGAUGAAGAACGUAGCAAAGUGCGAAAAGUAAUGUGUAUUGCAACCGUGAAUCAUUGAAUCUUUGAAUGCAUCUUGCACCUCUUUGUGAAAAGAGGUACGCCUGUGUCAGUAUCAGCCAAACCCCUCAACACCUCGGUGUUGGCUUUGGGCUUCUUUCCGUGUCAAAGCGGAUGGCCUGGAAACGAGCGGGUGGAGGUCGGUUGGCAGCAGUAGUCCCGAUGGCUUUAUAUUCAUAUUCAGUCAGCAAACUACCAAACCGAACGAUGCUUACCCAAAAUACACCCAAAUUUGAUCUGACAUCAGGUGGGCUGACCCGCUGAACUUAAGCAUAUCAAUAAGCGGAGGCU
rnacentral:misc_RNA from 1 species